rnacentral:rRNA from 1 species
AACGUAGGUUCCGAGCGUUAUCCGGAUUUACUGGGCGUAAAGCGCGUUCAGGCGGUUUGGCAAGUCGGGCAUGAAAUCUCUCGGCUCAACCGGGAGAGGUUGUCCGAUACUGCUGGACUUGAGGGCAGUAGAGGGUGGUGGAAUUCCCGGUGUAGUGGUGGAAUGCGUAGAGAUCGGGAGGAACACCCGUGGCGAAGGCGGCCACCUGGGCCGACCCUGACGCUGAGGCGCGAAGGCGUGGGGAGCGAACGGGG